UCACUCAAUAAGACGCUCAUACACAAACCAAGUAUUAAAUCUUCUGAUACAAGAAUUCACAUAUUCAAAUUUACUACUAUCCCAAUUUAGAAUCCUUAUUUCAAAAUUCAAAACCUACAUGCUGACUCAUCCAUUUUCCUUCAGUUCCAAAUAUUAAUAUCAUUGCUCCAAUAAUCAUGGAAGAAGUUUAAAUUAGAUAAGAUGGUUGCUGCCAAUUCAAGGAGUUUUUCGAUUAUUAUCAAAUUCUGCCAUUAAGUACUAUUUGAUCAUUUCCAAUUAAAGAGAACAAAUUCUUACCACUACUACAAGCUUAUUUCAAACAAAAUCAUGACAUUUCUCUAGCUAAUUGCUAUCAACUGAUAGGAGAUCAUGACUUCUAUCCCAAUCUCAUCACAUAUUUAUCACCUUAACCAUUUUCCAACGAAAGACAUAUAAUCUCCUUUCAAAUCCUACUAAUGAGAAUCUUCAUGAAAACAAAUCGUACAUCUACUAUAUAGAGAAAAUUUAAACUCAUAGUCAAGUCCCUAAUUUAGUUUUAACUUCUCUGUUCCUCUUUCCAAUUUGUCAUACCAUACCAUUUCUUAACUAAUUAUGAUAAGAACUUAUGCAACUAGCCAAGUUAACUGUUGUCAUGCUAGAUAAUUCUUCAUUUAUUUU
rnacentral:lncRNA from 1 species